AGUGAACGCUGGCGGUAGGCCUAACACAUGCAAGUCGAACGGCAGCACAGUAAGAGCUUGCUCUUACGGGUGGCGAGUGGCGGACGGGUGAGGAAUACAUCGGAAUCUACUUUUUCGUGGGGGAUAACGUAGGGAAACUUACGCUAAUACCGCAUACGACCUACGGGUGAAAGCAGGGGAUCUUCGGACCUUGCGCGAUUGAAUGAGCCGAUGUCGGAUUAGCUAGUUGGCGGGGUAAAGGCCCACCAAGGCGACGAUCCGUAGCUGGUCCGAGAGGAUGAUCAGCCACACUGGAACUGAGACACGGUCCAGACUCCUACGGGAGGCAGCAGUGGGGAAUAUUGGACAAUGGGCGCAAGCCUGAUCCAGCCAUACCGCGUGGGUGAAGAAGGCCUUCGGGUUGUAAAGCCCUUUUGUUGGGAAAGAAAAGCAGCAGGUUAAUACCCCGCUGUUCUGACGGUACCCAAAGAAUAAGCACCGGCUAACUUCGUC
rnacentral:rRNA from 1 species